CAUAGGUUAAUGAGGCGAACCGGGGGAACUGAAACAUCUAAGUACCCCGAGGAAAAGAAAUCAACCGAGAUUCCCCCAGUAGCGGCGAGCGAACGGGGAGCAGCCCAGAGCCUGAAUCAGUGUGUGUGUUAGUGGAAGCGUCUGGAAAGGCGCGCGAUACAGGGUGACAGCCCCGUACACAAAAAUGCACAUACUGUGAGCUCGAUGAGUAGGGCGGGACACGUGGUAUCCUGUCUGAAUAUGGGGGGACCAUCCUCCAAGGCUAAAUACUCCUGACUGACCGAUAGUGAACCAGUACCGUGAGGGAAAGGCGAAAAGAACCCCGGCGAGGGGAGUGAAAAAGAACCUGAAACCGUGUACGUACAAGCAGUGGGAGCACGCUUAGGCGUGUGACUGCGUACCUUUUGUAUAAUGGGUCAGCGACUUAUAUUCUGUAGCAAGGUUAACCGAAUAGGGGAGCCGAAGGGAAACCGAGUCUUAACUGGGCGUUAAGUUGCAGGGUAUAGACCCGAAACCCGGUGAUCUAGCCAUGGGCAGGUUGAAGGUUGGGUAACACUAACUGGAGGACCGAACCGACUAAUGUUGAAAAAUUAGCGGAUGACUUGUGGCUGGGGGUGAAAGGCCAAUCAAACCGGGAGAUAGCUGGUUCUCCCCGAAAGCUAUUUAGGUAGCGCCUCGUGAAUUCAUCUCCGGGGGUAGAGCACUGUUUCGGCAAGGGGGUCAUCCCGACUUACCAACCCGAUGCAAACUGCGAAUACCGGAGAAUGUUAUCACGGGAGACACACGGCGGGUGCUAACGUCCGUCGUGAAGAGGGAAACAACCCAGACCGCCAGCUAAGGUCCCAAAGUCAUGGUUAAGUGGGAAACGAUGUGGGAAGGCCCAGACAGCCAGGAUGUUGGCUUAGAAGCAGCCAUCAUUUAAAGAAAGCGUAAUAGCUCACUGGUCGAGUCGGCCUGCGCGGAAGAUGUAACGGGGCUAAACCAUGCACCGAAGCUGCGGCAGCGACGCUGAUGCGUUGUUGGGUAGGGGAGCGUUCUGUAAGCCUGUGAAGGUGUGCUGUGAG
rnacentral:rRNA from 1 species